CAUGUAAAGCUACAAGCGAUAUGGAUAUGGGAAAAAGCAUUACUUUUUGCUUGGGCUGAAUGUUGGCUAGUUUGGAGGGUGAAAUAGUUUAUUCAAUACAAUUGAGUACUUUAUUUUUUUCCAUUUGAUUUUUUUGAACAGAAAUGGGCUAAUUACUAGGAUAUUGGGAAAUCGCAUUGUUUAAAAGAGGUUCUCGUUUUACAUCAAGGUCGAUUUUUCAUAUUUAUUUGUUUUAGAAAAAAGUAUCAUCUUAUAUUUCCUGUAUUACUGGUUUUCUAAUUCUAAAACUUGAAAAUGGUGGAUGAAACGUUACAUACUAGAUUGUUUACAGUAUACCGAAAGGAUUAGAGACUCGUGAACAUUCGUAAAAGCGACAUGCUUAUACUUCCAAGAGAACGAAAAGCGAAUUUCAUUUCUUAUUUACAAUAGAAUAGUUAUUCUCAUCAUUCAGUCACGAUCACUUUUUUCUUUACCAAAAAUUGUAUACCUAAAUAGCACAGUAUAAUCCACCGCAAAUUAACGUAUCGUUAAUAUGUUUAUGAUCAAAUACUAUGUAUU